CAUAUUCUAAGUCCGAACCGUCCAGAGUAGUGACGCUGGACGGGCGGGCAGGUAUGGGCAGCGAUCGGUUGAUUUAAUUUUACUUGCAUUCACAGUUUUUCUCAAUUGCUAAAACACUAAAACCCAUUGGCUGAACAAAGUUCUCAGUUGCCUGGACUCAUUUAGCUAAUUAUGCAGUCUGUUAUCAGUACCUUAAACCAUUUCACAUGGUAAAACACAAUUUUCAGAUCUCACUUAGUCUUUUCAGCAAAACUAUAAACACAUUCUCAUUCUCAAAACACAUUCUGCACUCUAAUGCACAUGUCAUCCAUACUGGUAAACACAAGUGGCAAUCAAAUACAAGUAGAGAAGACAUGUCAUUGAUUCAACACAAGCACUCAAAAUUGAUUUAACCUGUUUCAAAUGAUGCGACACAACCUAUAUAAGCCAGUUCAGAGAGCAAACAGGAUGUUGAAGGUGGGAAGGAGAAAGUCUGAGAAUGGAUAGAAGAAACAAUGUGAGAGGACGAGGACGAGUGCGUAUGCGAGGUGGGCGACAAGGAGGAGGGCAAGAAAGACGAAGAGGAGGACGAAGAGGAAGAGGAAGACAAAGAGUGGAAAUAUCUGAUAAAAUUCAAGCAACAGUUAUAGACCAUGUUCUUGUCCAUGGACUGACAAUGAGGGAAGCAGGACUUAGAGUGCAACCCAAUUUGAGCCGAUUUUCUGUGUCCACCAUAGUAAGGACAUUCAGAGAAGAGAACAGAAUUGCAAGGUUGCCACAUGCAGGUGGAAGGACAGCUAUAUUCACUCAGCAGCAAGAGGCCCUUAUAGUUGGCAUGGUCCUUCAAUACGACUCAGAGAAAUCCAGGAACGAGUGAUACAAGACAACACACACUUCCAGGGAAUUGACAGUGUGAGCAUUUCCACAAUUGACCGUGUCCUCCAUCAUAACAGGAUGCGAAUGAAACAAGUAUACAGAGUACCUUUUGAGCACAACUCACCAAGGGUGAAAGAACUGCGAGCUCAGUAUGUACAAGUACUACAAUAUUUGACUUGGAAUCCUUGGACAGACCCCAUGAGUUCAUCUUCGUCGAUGAAGCAAGCUUCAAUCUAACAAAGAGGAGAAGGAGAGGCCAAAACAUGAUUGGACAGCGGGCCAUUGUUGAAGUCCCUGGUUAACGAGGUGGCAAUGUCACAAUCUGUGCUGCAACCAUGGUGUUCUACAUCAUCAUGUUAGGCCAUAUAACACCCAGCACCUUCUAAGACUUAUUGCCAAUCUAAGAGAUAUUUUAUUUGAGCAGCAGGUUCAAGAGCAGCAGGGUCAAGAGCUAAAUGAGAAUCCAAUUCCCACCUAUGUGAUAGUGUGGGACAAUGUCAGUUU